UUUUUUGGAAAGCAGCCCUUGAAUAUUAUCAGAUUGCCCUUCAGUUUUUGCCUCUGUCAUUCCUUUUCUAACUCUUCUUCAUAUUCUCUGUUUUGAAUCUUUGUUGCUAUUUCAGAGACAGGAUCUGUUUGCAGAAAUGGGCCCAGAUUCCUCUGAGACCAAAAGGACUCCAUUGGACACGAGAGAGAGGCUGCUGGGUAAGGAAGGAGUCCUUUCUCUGUUUGGUCCCUUUCUGUGGAUAUCAAAACGAAUCCAUGGGUUCUUGUCAUCUUUUUUUUGGGGGGGGAGGAAGACACCAAGAGCACCAAGGAAGGGAGAUGUAUUUUUUAACCCAACUAAAUUAUGAAAUGGGUCCAAAUGUCCAGAUGCACUCAGAAGGUGAGACCUUUUGGAGAGCAGCUGCACUCCUGGCUUCCCACUUACCUCUGUCUCUCACAGGUGACCAGAUGAUGCCAGCAAGACCUCCUCUUCCAUCUAUUCCUGGUGGUGAAGGAGAAGCAACAGCUGUGGAAGCAGCUCAGGUAGAGGGAGGGAGCCCUGUGGGGAAGGGGGCUGGGGGGGGCAGCCAGGGUGCCUCUGGCCCCCAAGGAAUCUCUCUCCUCCUCUUGGCUUCUGUCCAAGCUUCUCUGAAGACGUCUUUGUCAAGGGCAGCCUAGACAGAAGCCAAGAGGCUGGGAAUGCCGUUUGAGAAGUUUAAUGUGCUGAGAAUAAGGAACAGCCACCUUGCCUUAACUCACCUUCUGACGGUCAAUAGGAUGAUUCAUAAGUCAUUGUAGUUUUAUUUCUAGAGUUAUCAUUGAAUGCUAAAUAGGCUUCUAAGCAGUUCAUCAAGCCUCAAAAAUAGUUCCCAGGAAUCACCUAUCUUGUCGCAUCAGUUGCACAAUGGGGUUUCCCCACCUUCUCCUCCCCCUUUUAAUGAGCAGAAAGAAACAGCAUUGUGUAGCAGACAACCUUAGUGCUGUCUAAAAAGGACCUUUCUCUUUCUCUCUUAGGGUCCAGUGUGCUUUGAAGAUGUCGCUGUUCAUUUCACAGAUGAGGAAUGGGCGUUGCUGGAUCCUGACCCGAGAGCUCUGCAUAAGGAAGUCAUGGAGGAGAAUCA